GUCGAACGAGUUCUCGUUGAUGAUCGGUGCUUGCACCGAGAUUCAACAUGGAACGAGUGGCGGACGGGUGAGUAACACGUGGGUAACCUGCCCUUAAGUGGGGGAUAACAUUUGGAAACAGAUGCUAAUACCGCAUAGAUCCAAGAACCGCAUGGUUCUUGGCUGAAAGAUGGCGUAAGCUAUCGCUUUUGGAUGGACCCGCGGCGUAUUAGCUAGUUGGUGAGGUAAUGGCUCACCAAGGCGAUGAUACGUAGCCGAACUGAGAGGUUGAUCGGCCACAUUGGGACUGAGACACGGCCCAAACUCCUACGGGAGGCAGCAGUAGGGAAUCUUCCACAAUGGACGCAAGUCUGAUGGAGCAACGCCGCGUGAGUGAAGAAGGCUUUCGGGUCGUAAAACUCUGUUGUUGGAGAAGAAUGGUCGGCAGAGUAACUGUUGUCGGCGUGACGGUAUCCAACCAGAAAGCCACGGCUAACUACGUGCCAGCAGCCGCGGUAAUACGUAGGUGGCAAGCGUUAUCCGGAUUUAUUGGGCGUAAAGCGAGCGCAGGCGGUUUUUUAAGUCUGAUGUGAAAGCCCUCGGCUUAACCGAGGAAGCGCAUCGGAAACUGGGAAACUUGAGUGCAGAAGAGGACAGUGGAACUCCAUGUGUAGCGGUGAAAUGCGUAGAUAUAUGGAAGAACACCAGUGGCGAAGGCGGCUGUCUGGUCUGUAACUGACGCUGAGGCUCGAAAGCAUGGGUAGCGAACAGGAUUAGAUACCCUGGUAGUCCAUGCCGUAAACGAUGAAUGCUAGGUGUUGGAGGGUUUCCGCCCUUCAGUGCCG
rnacentral:rRNA from 2 species